AGAACGAACGCUGGCGGCAGGCCUAACACAUGCAAGUCGAACGCUCGUAGCAAUACGGGAGUGGCAGACGGGUGAGUAACGCGUGGGAACCUUCCCAGUGGUACGGAAUAGCUCAGGGGAAACUUGAGGUAAUACCGUAUACGCCCCUAGGGGGAAAGAUUUAUCGCCAUUGGAUGGGUCCCGCGUCGGAUUAGCUAGUUGGUGAGGUAACGGCUCACCAAGGCGACGAUCCGUAGCUGGUUUGAGAGAAUGACCAGCCACACUGGGACUGAGACACGGCCCAGACUCCUACGGGAGGCAGCAGUGGGGAAUCUUGGACAAUGGGCGCAAGCCUGAUCCAGCCAUGCCGCGUGAGUGACGAAGGCCUUAGGGUUGUAAAGCUCUUUUGCCGGGACGAUAAUGACGGUACCGGAGAAUAAGUCCGGCUAACUUCGUGCCAGCAGCCGC
rnacentral:rRNA from 1 species